AGUCUCUAAGGCCUCUUUUGGAUUGAGGGAUUUAGAGAGAUUUGGAGAGAAAAGAAAGGGAAGAAUAGUGUCAAGUGUGUUUGGAUGAAAAGAAUAAUCUCUCCAAUAUAGUAAAAUCAAAUCUCCUCAAUUUUGAGAAGAUUUGAGGGGAAAGGAAACAAUUGAAAGAGAAAGACAAAAUUAGCCUCCAUGAUUCUAUGAUUCUCUGCGUGUAUUGGGCGUCUGCUCUACUGCUACUACUACUUGUACAUCCACACAACCAUCUCAGAGGGCAAUCCAGAUUCCUCCUGUACCGUCAAAGCCAACAAAAUGCUCUCACUUUCUUGAGGCCGAGACUACUCUCCCUCUCCGUAGUCUUGAAUUUGUGAUCAAUCUAGACACUGUUCUCGAAUCGUCUGUGGCGUUUCUUCUACUGAAACCAGAGAGGAAGAGAAGCAGAAGAUGGGAUCCGGGCCACGGCGUGGGAAGGUGCUACUACGCGUCCGACUUAAUCACCAAGUUGAAUUUGGUGAGAGUGUUGCAAUUUUGGGAUCGGCAAGAGAAUUUGGCUCAUGGAAGAAGAAAGUGGCGAUGAAUUGGACAAAGGAUGGAUGGUUUUGUGAGUUGGGACUAAAGGGGGAAGAAUCUGUUGAGUUCAAAUUCGUGAUUAUGGACAAGAGUGUGUUUGGGAAAGUGGUGAUAACAGUAUCCUGCCCGGCAGCCUUGUGCUUCUGAAAUAGUCGAUUCAUACACAUAAUAAGAAAUGAUCAAUAAUUAUGUAUAUGGCUAUAGAUAUGCGAUGAAAGUCAAGUUCAGGGAGAGAGAGAACAUUGACCAGUACUUAAAAUAGGUUCCCUUCAGAGUUCACAAGGUUGAAGCAAAAAAGAUUUACUAAAAGUAAACUGCUAUUACUUCCACCAAUAUUGCAUGAAAAAGGCUGUAUCAUAUGACCCCAUACGUCGCACUAGACAAGAAAAGAAGGUGAAGAAAACGGGUAUCCAUCUAGUUAUGGAGGAGCAAGGUGAAGGUUAACACACAGAAAUCCUAGAAGUCAGUUGCAUGUUUGGGGAGCAGCAUUAAGAGGCAAUAGAAAGGAUCAUUUGGAUACUUUUGAUUGUCAAUUUUGUGUACGUUUGUUUUGAUUAUCAAUUUUGUAUACAAGAAGCUCUAUCUCUUGUAAAAACAAUUUCAAUUGUGAUGGAAAAUGUUUUGUUAGU